AGUGAACGCUGGCGGUAGGCCUAACACAUGCAAGUCGAACGGCAGCACAGUAAGAGCUUGCUCUUACGGGUGGCGAGUGGCGGACGGGUGAGGAAUACAUCGGAAUCUACUUUUUCGUGGGGGAUAACGUAGGGAAACUUACGCUAAUACCGCAUACGACCUACGGGUGAAAGCAGGGGAUCUUCGGACCUUGCGCGAUUGAAUGAGCCGAUGUCGGAUUAGCUAGUUGGCGGGGUAAAGGCCCACCAAGGCGACGAUCCGUAGCUGGUCUGAGAGGAUAAUCAGCCACCCUGGAACUGAGACACGGUCCAGACUCCUACGGGAGGCAGCAGUGGGGAAUAUUGGACAAUGGGCGCAAGCCUGAUCCAGCCAUACCGCGUGGGUGAAGAAGGCCUUCGGGUUGUAAAGCCCUUUUGUUGGGAAAGAAAAGCAGCAGGUUAAUACCCCGCUGUUCUGACGGUACCCAAAGAAUAAGCACCGGCUAACUUCGUG
rnacentral:rRNA from 1 species